UAUAACUUUUUGUCAAAUACAUUUUAGGAGUUAUCAGAUUAAUGGAGAAUAAUUUCAACCUGAAUAAUCCCACAUUUUUCAUUGUUGCAGAGAAGGAUGAGUUCAUUCCUCUUGACCAAGUUACUGAGCUAACUAAGAAGCUGGAAGUGGAAUGCAAAGUUGAUUUUGAAGUGAAAAUAUAUCCUGGGCAGACUCAUGGCUUUGUACACCGCAAGAGAGAAGACAUUAAUCCUCAAGAUAAACCUUACAUUGAAGAAGCAAGGAAGGACAUGCUGUGUUGGCUGCGCAAAUAUAUCUAGCAAUCUGUGCAAUCUAUCAAAAUGCCAGAGAGAGAGAGAGAGAGAUUGAGAUUUCAUUAGUGGAAAAAAAGGAAUGCAAAACAUAAGCUUUGAUUACUUAAAUGCAUAAUUUUCUCUGCUAUGAGCAAAUGUAUAUAGCAAUAAGGAGGCUCAGCUGCUGCUCGGAACAAUCUCUUCCCCCAGACCGCAUACCCACCAGCAUCGGAUUAGGAAUGGAAACAUGGUUGUUUGUUCUGACACACAAACAUGUUUAUUCCUUCCUCUCCAGUACCAGGCUCUCUCCCAAACCUCAAAAGCAUUAUGAUAGUGCUUUUCAGGAAAGAAGUGAAGUUUUGUCUGUGUGUGUUGCAGGGGAAGCCUUAUUAUAUAAAAAUACAUACUUAUUUUCAAACAAAAUUGAGGAUUUCCACUUACUUUCCAAAUCUUAUUUACUAUGUAUCUUAUUGUAUAGUUUUCUUACUAUGCAUGGAUCUAUAGUUUCUGGGUACCUAUGAACUACUUUUCCUUCUCUUCCCCCUUUUACAGGUGGGCUUGAAUUGCCCAGAUCCGUGUUAAUGUCCAGGUCUUAGCUAGCCCUGCUCCAGGUGCUCUUCCAGACUUGGAAUGUGGAGACAGAAGAUUCUUCUCUCCUCAGUUGAGUCCUAGCCACCUUUAUCAACCCAAGAUUUGGCUGCCUUGGUUGGCUUGCAUUUUCUAGGCUUUUCAGCCAAGUAUCAUCAUCUCUGGCCAGAGACACUGCUGAGACUUUGGCGUCUCCAUUCCAGAAUGGGAGGGGAAACCUGGCUACCAGUGCUAGCAGACUACAGGUACUGCUCUAGACGUUGGCCUAGCUGCGGGCUCCACAGGUGUUCCUGCCUCUCUGGGCUGCCCCAGCUCUCAGCUGCUCACCCUGAAACAGUUUCUGCUUCUUUGCACCUCCAGGCACCUCUGCAUGCUGGCUCCAGUCCCAAAGGCUCACAACGUUGACUUUGUCCUGGGAAUCUUUUGAUUUACUCAGCUCCCCUGCAAGCCUCCUUUCUGUCUCUCCCACGCAAACCUCCUGACACACCCACUGCCAGGUCCCAAAGGUUUUUCCUUUUGCAGCUAGAGUGCAGGUGUGGCCCAGCUGCCUCAAAGUCCAGGAGGGAAAGAAAAGAGAAAUGGAUGGGAAGGCUUGUGCAGACUGCUAUGAAGCUCCUCCUUCCAUAGAGAGAAAGCCAACACAACUAGAUAGUAAUGAGUGGCACAGUGAAAGUAGUCUUCUCUAAGCCCAACCCAAGAAAUACAUCCAAUUUUUGAACAAGAGGGAACUGGAAGUCCUAUAAGUCUUUUCUAUUCCAGCAUUCCUAAUUCUUAGGUAUUUCCCUGUCUGGAAAUAUAAUACCUGCCAAUUUAUGAGACAGGCUUUCACAGCAAACAGCAAACUGCGUUGCAGUUAAAAAAAAAAA